rnacentral:rRNA from 1 species
GAUGAACGCUGGCGGCGUGCCUAAUACAUGCAAGUCGAGCGAACAGACGAGGAGCUUGCUCCUCUGACGUUAGCGGCGGACGGGGGAGUAACACGUGGAUAACCUACCUAUAAGACUGGGAUAACUUCGGGAAACCGGAGCUAAUACCGGAUAAUAUAUUGAACCGCAUGGUUCAAUAGUGAAAGACGGUUUUGCUGUCACUUAUAGAUGGAUUGGUGCCGCAUUAGCUAGUUGGUAAGGUAACGGCUUACCAAGGCAACGAUGCGUAGCCGACCUGAGAGGGUGAUCGGCCACACUGGAACUGAGACACGGUCCAGACUCCUACGGGAGGCAGCAGUAGGGAAUCUUCCACAAUGGGCGAAAGCCUGACGGAGCAACGCCGCGUGAGUGAUGAAGGUCUUCGGAUCGUAAAACUCUGUUAUUAGGGAAGAACAAAUGUGUAAGUAACUAUGCACGUCUUGACGGUACCUAAUCAGAAAGCCACGGCUAACUACGUG